CAUUAAAGAGUUCUAUAACUCCCAAACCCAUGUGAACAUACCUAACGUUGCCUCGGCAGGUCGCACCUACCUUGUAGCACCUUACCCUGUAAGGCCUACCCGGGAGGUGCGGGUAAGCCUGCCGGCGGCCCACCAAACUCUGUUUGAUAUUGAAUUCUGAACCUAUAACUAAAUAAGUUAAAACUUUCAACAACGGAUCUCUUGGUUCUGGCAUCGAUGAAGAACGCAGCGAAAUGCGAUAAGUAAUGUGAAUUGCAGAAUUCAGUGAAUCAUCGAAUCUUUGAACGCAUAUUGCGCCCAUUAGUAUUCUAGUGGGCAGGACCGUUCGAGCGUCAUUUCAACCCUUAAGCCUUCGUUGCUUAGUGUUGGGAGCCUACGGCAACGUAGCUCCUCAAAGUUAGUGGCGGAGUUGGUUCACACUCUAGACGUAGUAAUUUUUUAUCUCGCCUAUUAGUUGAACUAAUACCCUGCCGUAAAACCCCCAAUUUAUCAAGGUUGACCUCGAAUCGGUUCAGACAAACUCGCUAAAUUGAAGCAUCUUAGUCAGCGAAGGAAAAGAAACCAACAGGGAUUGCCCUAGUAACGGCGAGUGAAGCGGCAACAGCUCAAAUUUGAAAUCUGGCCCUCGGGU
rnacentral:rRNA from 1 species